rnacentral:rRNA from 1 species
UACGUAGGGUGCAAGCGUUUGUCCGGAAUUAUUGGGCGUAAAGAGCUCGUAGGCGGUUUGUCGCGUCUGCUGUGAAAACUCGGGGCUUAACCCCGGGCCUGCAGUGGGUACGGGUAGACUAGAGUGCGGUAGGGGAGACUGGAAUUCCUGGUGUAGCGGUGAAAUGCGCAGAUAUCAGGAGGAACACCGGUGGCGAAGGCGGGUCUCUGGGCCGUAACUGACGCUGAGGAGCGAAAGCGUGGGGAGCGAACAGG